rnacentral:rRNA from 1 species
UACGUAGGGUCCGAGCGUUGUCCGGAAUUAUUGGGCGUAAAGAGCUCGUAGGCGGUCUGUCGCGUCGGCUGUGAAAACCCGAGGCUCAACCUCGGGCCUGCAGUCGAUACGGGCAAACUAGAGUACUGCAGGGGAGACUGGAAUUCCUGGUGUAGCGGUGAAAUGCGCAGAUAUCAGGAGGAACACCGGUGGCGAAGGCGGGUCUCUGGGGCCGAUACUGACGCUGGAGGAGCGAAAGCCGUGGGGAGCAAACAGG